GCUGGGCAUGUUAAUGCGUGCUUGUACUCCCAGCUACUUGGGAGACUGAGGCAGGAACACUGAUUGAGUCCAGGAGUUCUGGGAUAUAGUACACUAUGCUGAUCCAACAUUCACACUAAGUGCAGCAUCAAUAUGGUGACUUCCUGGGAGCAGGGAACCACCAGGUUACCAAAGGAGGAGUGAACCUGCCCAGGUCAGAAAUAGAGCAGGUAAAAAUUCCUGCAGUGAUCAGUAGUGGGAUUGUGCCUAUGAAUAGCUACCACACUCCAGCCUGGGAAGCUUAUCAAUACCCCAUCU
rnacentral:SRP_RNA from 10 species